rnacentral:rRNA from 1 species
UCAGGAUGAACGCUGGCGGCGUGCUUAACACAUGCAAGUCGAGCGAAGCGGCUGAAUUGAUUCUUCGGAUGAUUUUCAGUUGACUGAGCGGCGGACGGGUGAGUAACGCGUGGGUGACCUGCCCCAUACCGGGGGAUAACAGCUGGAAACGGCUGCUAAUACCGCAUAAGCGCACAGAGCUGCAUGGCUCUGUGUGAAAAACUCCGGUGGUAUGGGAUGGGCCCGCGUCUGAUUAGGCAGUUGGCGGGGUAACGGCCCACCAAACCGACGAUCAGUAGCCGGCCUGAGAGGGCGACCGGCCACAUUGGGACUGAGACACGGCCCAAACUCCUACGGGAGGCAGCAGUGGGGAAUAUUGCACAAUGGGGGAAACCCUGAUGCAGCGACGCCGCGUGAGCGAAGAAGUAUUUCGGUAUGUAAAGCUCUAUCAGCAGGGAAGAUAAUGACGGUACCUGACUAAGAAGCCCCGGCUAACUACGUGCCAGCAGCCGCGGUAAUACGUAGGGGGCAAGCGUUAUCCG